rnacentral:rRNA from 1 species
CUCUAAGGAGACUGCCGGUGACAAACCGGAGGAAGGUGGGGAUGACGUCAAGUCAUCAUGCCCCUUAUGACCUGGGCUACACACGUGCUACAAUGGUCGGGACAAAGGGCAGC